AACACCUACAAAAUGAUGGAAUACCCUUAUUCCAUCCAGAUAGUGUGCUCUGAGACUAGGACCUGAAGCGGCUCCAUCAGGGACCUCCUUGAACUUCUAGAAAGUGAGUCUCCAAAGAAUAGGACAUGCUGUGAGGCAUAAAUGGAUAUGGAAGCAGUCUCCCCUUUAAGGGGAAGUCAGGAUUGGAAAUGCAGCUAUUCAGGAAGGUUCUAUGGAAAGGGCUUGGGUCUGAUGGUUUGGACCUCUGUGAACUACAUGCAGACU
rnacentral:sRNA from 1 species